UACAUGCAGUCGAGCGAAUGACGAGAAGCUUGCUUCUCUGAUUUAGCGGCGGACGGGUGAGUAACACGUGGGCAACCUGCCCUACAGAUCGGGAUAACUCAGGGAAACCUGGGCUAAUACCGGAUAAUCCUUCGAAUCACAUGUUUUGAAGUUGAAAGGCGCUUCGGCGUCACUGUAGGAUGGGCCCGCGGUGCAUUAGCUAGUUGGUGGGGUAACGGCCUACCAAGGCAACGAUGCAUAGCCGACCUGAGAGGGUGAUCGGCCACAUUGGGACUGAGACACGGCCCANACUCCUACGGGAGGCAGCAGUAGGGAAUCUUCCACAAUGGACGAAAGUCUGAUGGAGCAACGCCGCGUGAGUGAUGAAGGUUUUCGGAUCGUAAAACUCUGUUGUAAGGGAAGAACAAGUACGUUAGGAAAUGAACGUACCUUGACGGUACCUUAUUAGAAAGCCACGGCUAACUACGUGCCAGCAGCCGCGUAAUACGUAGGUGGCAAGCGUUGUCCGGAUUUAUUGGGCGUAAAGCGCGCGCAGGUGGUUUCUUAAGUCUGAUGUGAAAGCCCACGGCUCAAC
rnacentral:rRNA from 1 species